GACGAACGCUGGCGGCGUGCUUAACACAUGCAAGUCGAACGGAAAGGCCCUGCUUUUGUGGGGUGCUCGAGUGGCGAACGGGUGAGUAACACGUGAGUAACCUGCCCUUGACUUUGGGAUAACUUCAGGAAACUGGGGCUAAUACCGGAUAGGAGCUCCUGCUGCAUGGUGGGGGUUGGAAAGUUUCGGCGGUUGGGGAUGGACUCGCGGCUUAUCAGCUUGUUGGUGGGGUAGUGGCUUACCAAGGCUUUGACGGGUAGCCGGCCUGAGAGGGUGACGGCCCAAGUAGGAACUGAGGUCCGACCAGGUCUCCCGGGGGAGGGAGCGGGGGGAAAUAUUGCACAAUGGGCGGAAGCCUGACGGGGCGGCCCCGGGUGGGGAAUGGGGGCCUUGGGUGUAUAGCCCGCUAUCGGAUAUGAGGAACGGGGCGAAAGGGGGAUGGGGAAAGACACCCCGCAAAACUACGUC
rnacentral:rRNA from 1 species